rnacentral:rRNA from 1 species
AGGGAAUCUUCGGCAAUGGACGGAAGUCUGACCGAGCAACGCCGCGUGAGUGAAGAAGGUUUUCGGAUCGUAAAGCUCUGUUGUAAGAGAAGAGCGAGUGUGAGAGUGGAAAGUUCACACUGUGACGGUAUCUUACCAGAAAGGGACGGCUAACUACGUGCCAGCAGCCGCGGUAAUACGUAGGUCCCGAGCGUUGUCCGGAUUUAUUGGGCGUAAAGCGAGCGCAGGCGGUUAGAUAAGUCUGAAGUUAAAGGCUGUGGCUUAACCAUAGUACGCUUUGGAAACUGUUUAACUUGAGUGCAAGAGGGGAGAGUGGAAUUCCAUGUGUAGCGGUGAAAUGCGUAGAUAUAUGGAGGAACACCGGUGGCGAAAGCGGCUCUCUGGCUUGUAACUGACGCUGAGGCUCGAAAGCGUGGGGAGCAAACAGGAUUAGAUACCCUGGUAGUCCACGCCGUAAACGAUGAGUGCUAGGUGUUAGACCCUUUCCGGGGUUUAGUGCCGCAGCUAACGCAUUAAGCACUCCGCCUGGGGAGUACGACCGCAAGGUUG